ensembl:lncRNA
ACUACAAUGGGAUUGCCCUUCCACAGACAGAGUCUUUGUGAUGCACCCUCAUUACAGAUCCAUUUGGUGCUGCACUGCUUAUGGUUUGUGGGACCUGUAACGCUGUAGGGUAACAGUCCUCUCUUUCCUUACAAUGGUAAUUCUAAGAAAUUGCAUUUGAAAUGAUACUUUGCCGAGUCCGAAUGCCUUUCUUGUACUGGGACCAUAAGGAUCAGUAUGUUCUGUUGCAAAACAGGGGAUGCUGUGUUGUGUUUUCUUUAAAUAGUGAUCUCAGGAAUACUGUUCAUCUUGUCUGAGUCCCACUCCAAGCUGAAGGUUGAGAGUCAUCAUCAGAGGGACAGAAGUGGUGGAGGGAUUCCAGCAGCAUGUGUGGAGGUUAAAUCAACUGUCGGAAAAACAUGGCUGAGGAAAGCAACCAUUCAAGUAACAGUAGGAAUUUCUAGUGUAAAUUAAAUGAAACUAGAUGAGGCUGGCAGCUCUUCUAGAAGUUUUGUGCCUGUUUGAUAUCUGGCCUGCAACACUCACUUCCUGGCUCAUUUUUACUCUCUCCAACACCACCCAGUAGCUAAAUAGACAUUUUUGCUUCUUGCUAUGUAUGUGGCCUUGCUUUGAGAAUUUGAGAACUUUUAGUCAUAAUUCUGCAUAUAAUUCAUAGGCCGAGUAGCCACAAAAUGUGUUCAGAAAUUUUGUUGUGAUAGCAUCUCAGCUAUAGUCAGAUCUCCUGUCAAAAACUGAAAUUUAUGGUGAUGAAAGAAACUAAGAUAUUCAGUCAACACUCUGAAAUUAAAUUUCAGUGAAGAACAGCCCACAUAUUGUCAUAUUGUCAAGAUAAUAUUCUUUAUUGGGAACUCGUAUCACCAAGGUAUUUGAAAGAGGAUAUUUUUUCUAGGUAUGCAAUCAAAGUAGGCUAAAAACCAAUUUUUUAAGAAAGGAUUGCACUGGGAAACAUCAUUGUAUCAAUCUAUAAGAACUUUUUUUGUAUUUUCUUUUGUAAUAAGAAAAAUACAUUGUACUCAAGGAGUUGUGUGAUACAUUAUCUAUGUACUUCCCGAGUCUUGCCGCAUGAGUGCACUGUUGAAUAAAUGCCAUGUACGAUUCCUGCCUUAAAUUAGAGGUAACACUCCCAUCUCAAUGUAACCAGGAUAGAACUGCUGAGGCAAAAGCAAACAUUUUGGAAAACCUGUAACAAUGGGUUUCAUUUUAUAUAUUCAGCGUUAAUAGGAGCUAUGACUCACGUAUCAGGAAAAAAAAUCCAUAAAAAAACCCCAAAACCCAAAAAACCCCAGAAGUUUUCAGGAUAAAUAGAGCUGAUAAAUAUUCUUACAAUUUCUCUCCAUACAUCUGAAUUGAAUUGUCCUAGUUUAGGGCAAAUUUGGGGAAAACCCAGGAAAUAAACCCCCACGGCCCCUCUCCACCCACCUGGUUCAGGGAAAAAUUUCCUCUGAGAGAGAAGUGGAAAAGAACCUGUUUAUUCAACAAACAAAGCACUCCCCAGCACCAAAACAAUUAACAACACCAGAUGACAACAAAACUCUUUCACCCCUCUGAAGAGAUGAACAAAUCCAGAAGGUCUUUCCUGGGAGUGGUCGCCUGGGUCUGGACGCUGGGGAUGGCUGCUGCAGAUCACCAAAUGCAGGCUCCUGGUGUUCCUUGGUGUUUCCCAGAUCCCAGUCCAGAGCAGGUUGGAUGAUAUUCAGAAAGAGGAAAGGAAAAAGCAACAGUCCAUGGAAAGAAUUGGACUGCUUAACCUAACUAGGAAGCAAAGCAAGAAAGCAGGCAAAGCAAGCAAGCCAAGCAAGCAAGCAAGCAAGCAAAAGCAAAGCCAGCCAGCCAGCCCUAGCCUUUUCUAGACAGCAGACCAUGGGGGGAGGUGAACCAGAUGAUAACACGGCAAAACAAACCUUCACUUUCAGAGUCAGUUCUGAAAGCACAGAACAUAAUAUCAAACGUAAACAGAACACACGAUUGGAGAUACAAACACCAUAACAGUCACCCUAGGACAGAAUAUAAAAUUUUUGCAAAAUGUGUGAUGGAGAUUUGCAUACAUUUUAAUCAUGCAAGUUUGGAUAUGCAUGAUUGUCUCAAAGAAUAUUACUCUAAGUGAGCAUCUCUGCCUUGAUGUUAUCACAUCAAGAUAUGAUGUGACAGCAAGAAAUUUUAUUGUUAUACUAUUACCCACAGUGUCUUAGGUGUGUACAGAACAGUGCAAAUGUCAAGUGGAUAAACAUGCACCAUGAGAAAGAAACAUGAGAUAUGCUUGGGAAAGAGUAAUUUUCCAUAUACAGUUCACAAAGGAUAGGAUGAUCUAGCAAAGGAAAAGCGACAACUGUCAGACAUGAGCAGUAUCCUUCACCUCUGAUGUGAAUUUUGAGUGACAGAGCAUCAGCAGGUCAUGGAGGUCACAUUCAGGGAUCUAAAGUAAAGAGAGUAUCUCAACCUGACCAUGAAAGCACCCACAGUUUCUACAGACACGCAAUGACAAUAUAAAUAAUAAUCCUCUUCCUAAAUUUUCAUUUGGGUGUAAGUUUUUAUCAUCUGUCCUUACCAGAUACUUUGUCUUUACAUUUGCUUUCAAUCUGAAAUUUGUGUUAUUAAACUACAGAGACAUUACAAAUACUGUAUAGAUUAAGAUGAUUAAUACCUAAGCAAACCCCAGCUGCUUUAAAUCCCUGAGUUACUUGUAGCCAUUUUCUACACUUACCAAGAUUUUGUAUGUGCAUUUUUAGAGUCUUAUAUAUAACUCUCAGAAAAUGUGUAAAAUAUAUACAAAAAGAAUAUUUUAGUCCACAGUUCCUACAGCCAAAGGCUUUCUAGUCAUUUUCUAUCCUAUAGACAAGAGAACUGUAGCAUUUUUGUAAAAGAAGAUAUUACCACCCUCAAAGAAUAGUUUAGACUGGCAGAAUUAUAAUAUAUUAGGGCAGUGAAGGGUUGUUUUCUAACAGGUCAGAGCUGCCUGUUACAGAAUGAAGAAUGAAAAAAGAAGGAUUGUUGCUGUAGCAGUAGGACAGCAUGUUUAGGAAGAUAAGUAAAAUUUACUGUUUCUUUCUGUGAAGGCCUGAAUUCCUGUACCUUGAAAUCACAUUCUCUGCUUCAAGGGUGGUAAAGGAGGAAUACAAAGUACCUUCCACCUUCAACUUUAGGUUAUGCUUCACAAGUCAGAAAAAAAAUAUUUUUUAAUAUAAUACACAUUCACUCGGAGUAUGAUUUUCUUCUCCUAGCAGUGUCAUAAAUAGUGACUGAGUGGCUCCCAUUUUCCUUCAUUCUGCUCUUCUAUUUCAUACAUUAAAGCCAGAGGUCCAAAGUGUUCCUGAUGGUGACACAGAAUAUAGCCCACAUUAAGGGUCCUUGAACUCUUCUGUGAGGUGAGUGAUUUAAAGUUGCCACCAGAGCCAUUCAAACUGGAUGCUCAAGUAGUUACAUGUUUCUUCUGCUUACAUAUAGCAAUGGUAAAGAAAAUUAACACCAAAAUCUAGAAAACACUAACAAUAUGCUUUCCAUUUGUAGGUCUGCCAUUUGAAAUUUCCUUUUAUGAGAUGCAUAAAAAUUCUUGGGGAAGAAACAGGGGCUCUGGAGUGUGAAGAAAAUAAUCAAUCUUUGAAAUGUUUCAGAUGAGCUAUUCUGCUGAUCUUUUUCAUCUUCUCUCAUGUUCCACCACCUUUAAUUGUAUAUUUCUCCCUUUUAAGGAAACAGUGCUACUUUUUAGCACUAGUGAUGUCCUCAUUGCCAAUUAGAGUACAGACAGAAAACAAAUUGUCUUUGAGUUUUACACUUUAGAGACAUUCCUCCUUUUUUGAGUCCUCAAAGCUUAAGCUGUUUUGUGUUCAAGCUUCUGCAGCAUAUAGUAUUCAAAAAGUACAGUUCCCCUUAAAAUAAAUAAUUCUCAGCAACUUCAAGCAGAAUUAAAAUUUUGCAAUGUGUUGCAAUUAAUCAAAAAUCCACUCUCUAACAAAGACCAUGAAUAUGUAUUUUUAAAUUAACAUAACAUGUUAUGAUCCAUAUUUCUGUUAUAUCUUUUUAGAAUUAGAGAAAGAAUAAAGCAAUUGAGCACAUUCAAAUGUUUUUUUCUUCAUUCUAGAUGGCUUUUGGAGUCUGCUGCAUGAGAGCUGUAUGGAGAUGAAUACUGUAUGGAGAUGAGUGCUGUUGGAUGCCCGGGUACUUUGCCUACUUAUGCCUAACACAGCUGGCUGCUGCAGGAAGUGGCACAGCAGGAAUCAACAUGAUUUCCCACCCAACCAUGCCAGACUGCCAGCAGAGACCUUCCUUCAGAGAGCACAAGUUGAGAGCUAGGAAUGUGACACGAGGGAAUGAUUGUGCCAGAUAAUCAAGUAGGGUAAAAUAUCUAAUCUCUUUGGUUCUGUAAUAAACUCCAGAGUUCAGAUCCCUUGUUUGUUCCCAUUUGCACCUGACAGCUGGACACUCAGUAUAUACAGGCCGAUAACUAGGUCCUUAACCUAGCUGGAAAAAUAACUGAUGAGAUCAGGCUGCAGUAUUUAAUUUAGCAAUGUUUUUCAGUGUGUCUGCUGCUCAGCUUCUGAUGUUCACAGAACUUUAAAAAAUGCCUAUUUUUUUCAACUAGACUUCCUCCUUCCACAUCCUUGACCAACAUAGUCAAAAUUAUCCGGCAGAUUAAAAAGUGGCUGGAGAGGACAAACAGACAACGCAACUACAUAUGCAUCAGUCCCUUAGAAAACUAGUAGCAGGAACUUAGUCGUCUCCAACACUGUUAUUUUCAUUCUGCUCUCUGUAAUUGUGCAACACAGGAAAGGCAACAAAAUUGCUUCAUACAUACCUAACAUUUAUUUGUGUGAAAGGUUUUGCAAUAAUGUUUUACUGUGUCUGAUUGUGUACCUGAAGUUUUUUUAAAAUUUUUGUGGUAUUAUAGGAAUGGCAAUUAUUUCCGCUUCCCAAUGCUGGAUAGUGGAGAUAAAAUACCAGGAUAUAAUUUUCAUAGCAAAGAGAGGUUUUGAGAAUGAUUAGGUGAAGUGAUUAAAAUACAUAGAGAGCCAAUGUUUGGAUGACUUAAAUCUUUGUUCCAUUCACAUUUAGUGAAUUUAGUUCCAUUUAGUUCCUUUAUAAUCAUUAACUGUAAAUACUGUGUUAUAUCAUAUCAGACAAGACAAAUCAGGGCAAGGGCUAAAACUGUAGUCACACAGAUUCAUAUCUUUGUGAUAUGUCUGCUUCUGACAGGGGAAAAGAGAACUCCUCCAAAUAUGUUCAUGAUAUCAACAAUUCUACAGUAUGUGUUGUAUGUCACUGUUCCUAGUGGAUUGUGUGAAAGAAUCUGUGGCAAAGCAUAGUCACCUUACACAUAGACAGACCUUGCAGAUAGAACACACCUUAAGACAACUCUUACAUGCUACUGAACCAGUCCAUCAAUGAGGAAUAUUGGAAAGACUGGGAAACAUUUGAAAAGUACAAGUUAGAAGGAUUGUCUGUACGAACACCAACUCUUCUGAAGUGUUGUCACAAAAUUUACAGGAAUCUAUCAGCAAAAUUCGAUUAAAAUGUAAUUGUCUUUUGUCUCAUUCAGCCACAUCUCUUCUACAUAUCUGGUUUUAUUCUACAUUCAAAGAGAAAAUAUAAUUAUUUCAAAAUAAGUGAUUUAGAAAAGUCAGAGUAAUUAAUUAAUCAAUAUAAAACCCAUAAUAUUUUCUUAAUUUUUAUUUCACAGAAUCACAGUAUAGUUGAGGUUGAAACAGAUCUCUGUGUGUUUGUUACCUCCAUGCUUCCUUGCUCAAAGUAGGGGCAAACAGAGCUGCUUUCUGAGGGUUUUAUUCUUUUGGGUUUUCAGUACCUUCAAGUAUGGAGGCUACACAAAACAUUUGCGUGCAAUAAAGAUAAACCACUGUAGUCCAAGAAGAUAUCCUGACAGCCUCUGUAUUUUCCUCUACUUGCUGUUAAUGUGCAUGGCUUACAGCACCUCAAGGUGUUAGAAUUAUAGACCAUCCUGAGUUGGAAAGGUCCCACAAGGAUCAUUUAGCCCAACUCCUGGCUCUGGUCAUAAUGAUUAUCACACCAUGUGCCUGAGAGCAUUAUCCACAUGCAUCAUGAGCUCUGUCAGGCUGGUGCUGUGACUACUUCCCUGGGGAGCCUUGUCCAAUGCCCAGCCACUUUCCGGGUGAAGAGCCUUUUCUUGAUAUCCAACCUAGACCUUCCCUGGCACAACUUCAGGCCAUUCCCUUUGGUCCUGUCACUGGUCCUGUCACGGUGAAGAGAUCAGUGCCUGUCCUUCAUCUUCCCCUUGUGAGGAAGUUGUAACUGCAAUGAGGUCUCUCCUCAGUCUCCUUCAGGUUGGAAAGAACAAGUGACCUCAGCCACUCCUUGUAUGGCUUCAAUAUAUUACUGUCCAGUGGACCCUUUUUGCUGAAUGCCUUUUGUGGUCCUGUAUGUCCCCUAGCAAGUGAAAGGAGUACAUCUUUUGCCAUUUCAAGUUCAAGAGGCAUCAUCCUUCUCUUAUUCCAAGAAACACCAAAAAUUGUAUAACCCUUAAUGAGUAAAAAAAAUUUACAGUAACAUUUGGUAUAAGAACUCUAGACUUAGAGAAAUGUUAAAAAAUAAUUUAGUACUGAAGCAGAAAUAGUUUUCAUUUAUACACACAAUUUUUCACUUUUGUGUAGAUGUUUUUAAGAACAAACCUCCAAAAACCUGUAGAUUUUUCAGCAGUGGUCAGCAUAGACCUUAUUAUGUCAUAAGUCUUCUGUGGCAAACAGAAACACAUGAAGAUUUAAAUAAGUCCCCACUCUUGUCACUAGUAGAGGUCUUCACUGCACACAGAACAGAAUUAUUUAAUGACAGUUUGGAAGUACUUGAAGUUUGGGAGCAAUAGAUAGGCUACAGUAGGCUCUGUUUAGUCCUAUAUAUGUCUUUGACAUGCCAUGUUAACAGGAUGCGAAGGAAGAUUAAGUUGGAAGUUAAAUGCUCAUGCUACAAUGUUCUUAGAAUAUUUUAAAAACCCAAUGAUUUCCAAGAAAAUGCAUUGAUAGAUUGCCAAGUCAGUUUUGGUCAGUUAGAAAAUGUAUUACUACUAACUAUAUUUGGGUUGGUUUUUUACAUCUUUAGGGGAGAAAACCUCAGAGUGAAGAAAAACAAGAUGUUCUCAUACAAAUGUUAAUAUAUAUUCUGGACUUUAGGAUUGAAACCCUGUACUCUAAACUAGAGCAAGUUUUUUUGAGUUGUCAUCUCCAAAAUCUGAAAACCCUACCUCACACAAUCUAUUUUAAAGUUUUCAAUUGCUUUCACUGAAAAUGUUGAGAAAAGAUUUUCUUCCCACUACAAGUAAUUGUAGUGGUCUUUUUGUAUUUGGUCUUUUCCCCAGUGUAAGUCUGCCUAUACACUGGAGUCCAAAUUAUACAUAGCUGAUCUUUUUGUGUGUUGGCUAUGUUACAGGUUUUUUCCAGCUUGAGAGGUUUUGAAUUAAAUUUCCUGUAAAUUGUUGGCAAAUGGCUGAUAAAAUGGCUAGUAUUUACUGUGUGCUCCAAAUUAUUCAUGCAGUGGCAUGUGGUACUUUUCCUUCUUCUCUUUUCUGCAAAUAUUUACUUUUUGCAGAUGAAUUUCUAAAGCCAAAAAAGCACAAACCACUUGUAGGCAGCUGGUUUUUUUGCUACUCCCAUGCCAACAGUUAUAUAUAUAUAUAUAAUGUUUUUUAGUAACUUCAUUAAUGUUUUUCUCUCUAUCACUGUUUUCUAGAGUUUUUCUCUCUAUCACUGUUUUCCAGAGAUUGUUGUCUUUCAAGAUAAUUUAAUAUGACAUACUAAUUUGAAUUAGAAGAAAAUUUUGAAAACCUGUCCAUGGACCGAACCUAAUGUUGCAACUGUAGGCAUAGAGUUAUUAAGAGGGGUCCAUUGUCAAUGAAAUACAUUAACUCUAAUGGUGAAGCUUGGAGAAGAAAAGCAAGCAA